GUCGAACGAGACUGUGGGGGCAACUCUGCAGUUUAGUGGCGGACGGGUGAGUAACACGUGGGUAACCUGCCCGGAAGUGGGGAAUACCUCGGGGAAACUCGAGCUAAUACCGCAUGACAUCUUUGGGACGAGAGUCCUGACGAUCAAAGCGGGGUCGCAAGAUCUCGCGCUACCGGAUGGGCCCGCGCCCGAUUAGCUAGUUGGCGAGGUAAUGGCUCACCAAGACUUCGAUCGGUAACCGGCCUGAGAGGGCGAUCGGUCACACCGGAACUGAGACACGGUCCGGACUCCUACGGGAGGCAGCAGUGGGGAAUCUUGCGCAAUGGGCGAAAGCCUGACGCAGCAACGCCGCGUGGAGGAUGAAGGCCCUUGGGUUGUAAACUCCUGUCGGUUGGGAAGAAAUCUUACGGGGUUAAUACCUCCGUAAGUUGACUGUACCAGCAAAGGAAGCCCCGGCUAACUCUGUGCCAGCAGCCGCGGUGAUACAGAGGGGGCCAGCGUUAUUCGGAAUUAUUGGGCGUAAAGGGCGCGUAGGCGGCCAUGCGUGUCUUCCGUGAAAUCCCUCGGCUUAACUGAGGACGUGCGGAAGAAACUGCAAGGCUUGAGUCCGGGAGAGGGGGGGGUGGAAUUCCCAGUGUAGCGGUGAAAUGCGUAGAUAUUGGGAGGAACACCGGUGGCGAAGGCGGCCCCCUGGACCGGUACUGACGCUGAUGCGCGAAAGCGUGGGUAGCAAACGGGAUUAGAUACCCCGGUAGUCCACGCCGUAAACGAUGGGCACUUGGUGUCGCGGGUAUCGACCCCUGCGGUGCCGAAGCUAACGCAUUAAG
rnacentral:rRNA from 1 species